AGAGGAGGCGCAGGCGGUUGCGGAUAGUCGGGCUUCAAGGAAUUUUUUCUGAGGAGCCUUUAUCCGAGGAAAGUCCGGGCUUCCGAAAGAUCAGACCUGCUGGGUAACGCCCAGUGCGCGUGAGCGUGAGGAUAGUGCCACAGAAACAUACCGCCGAUGGAAAGGAUGAAGGGUGAAGGAGAAAUUGCCUUUUGCCUUUUGCCUUUCACAGGUAAGGGUGCAAGGGUGCGGUAAGAGCGCACCAGCAACGUCGAGAGGCGUUGGCUCGGUAAACCCCGGUUGGAAGCAAGGUCGAAGGAGCAAGGGUUGGUCUUUUUCCUGCUCCGGGUAGGGGUGGUUUCACUCCUGCGUAAUCCGCUAGAGGUGUCUGGUGACAGGCAUCCCAGAUAGAUAACUGCCCUCUUGGUGGAUUCCAUCAAGAGAACAGAACCCGGCUUAUGUCCGCCUCUUCCC
rnacentral:RNase_P_RNA from 2 species